AGUGAACGCUGGCGGUAGGCCUAACACAUGCAAGUCGAACGGCAGCACAGUAAGAGCUUGCUCUUACGGGUGGCGAGUGGCGGACGGGUGAGGAAUACAUCGGAAUCUACUUUUUCGUGGGGGAUAACGUAGGGAAACUUACGCUAAUACCGCAUACGACCUACGGGUGAAAGCAGGGGAUCUUCGGACCUUGCGCGAUUGAAUGAGCCGAUGUCGGAUUAGCUAGUUGGCGGGGUAAAGGCCCACCAAGGCGACGAUCCGUAGCUGGUCUGAGAGGAUGGUCAGCCACACUGGAACUGAGACACGGUCCAGACUCCUACGGGAGGCAGCAGUGGGGAAUAUUGGACAAUGGGAGCAAGCCUGAUCCAGCCAUACCGCGUGGGUGAAGAAGGCCUUCGGGUUGUAAAGCCCUUUUGUUGGGAAAGAAAAGCAGCAGGUUAAUACCCCGCUGUUCUGACGGUACCCAAAGAAUAAGCACCGGCUAACUUCGUG
rnacentral:rRNA from 1 species